AGCGACACCAUAGAAGCGUGACGAGACGGACUGCCAAGCCCCCCCCCCCCCCCUCCAUCCUCUAUGGAUGUCGUCCUAAACUAUACAAUCGAAGGAGACACACGCCCACACACGUGCUUACACGUAAUCGCAGGUUACCCAUGACAGAUCUGUCAAACCGGCAGUGGCGGGCGCUGGCGCAGGCUUACCCCUUUUACCUUGCCGGCGAAGUGGGUGUCGGAGGCCCUGCUAAUGAUCGUUCGCCGGAUCGCCAAGCUGGUGUGACUGAAAGCGAGCUUGUGGCUCCGUCGCUGUCGUCGAGUGAGGAGUUUGUGCAGUACGUCGUGCCACGAGUAGCGAAGGUCUUUCCCGAGGAGCUGCAGGCCUACGAACGGGCCAACGACUGUGGCGGCCAACCAGCCCAUCCCAACGGCGGCAGAGCUUGUCGCGCGUCUCCUCGGUCCACAGCAGAGGCUGUGGAUGCCCUGCUCGUGUACUUGUUUGACUGCACCACUUCGGCGCUCUCGCGAGGCUCGCCAACGAAGCAGCGCAGGCCCUUCGCAUCCGCAUGCUUUGCGCCGCUCAUCACGCCCCUCUCACGCCGCGAGCAACAGCUGCUGGGCCUCUACCACCGUAAGCAAGAGCAGUACACCUACGUAUUGAGCACUCAGCAACAACUGCUUGCGGCGUCCCAGCUCGCCGUGCAGGCAUUGCAGGGAGUGAGCAGUCCCAUCCUGGCAUACGCGCAAAGAGGCGCGGGCGCGUCGCAACGGGUAGCUGAGGAGAGCCUGGCCGCCCCCACCCGUGAGAGCGUUGUUUUUCCUGGCGGCCAAAAGUUAUCGGUAUGGCCACCGCUGUCGCACGCGACGGUCAGCGGCGAUGGCAACUCUGCCCGUGCGGUACAAGCCGCGUCCUCAUCACGUGCCCCAGCUGCGGGUGGCGCGAACAGCUGUGAUGCCAGUCGUGCCUUUACGAGCGCGCUAGCCAACGUUCCGUACGAGAACCGCCCACGAGAGACACCGGCAGCGGCGUCUUUGUCAGUGGAUGGCUCAUCCGUAGCCGGCACUUGGAGAGACUCCCCUUUUCUGCACUCCCGCACCGAUACCGCGCCGGUGCUAAUCGCCAUGAGCCGCUGUGCCGGCUGCCACGAGGUGGGCGGCGAUCUACUCAUCUGCACUCAAUGUGAGGAGGUGCGCCACGAAGCCUGCGGCGGGCCGCACCCGCCAGAGCCAGGAAUGGCCGGCAAGAGGGUGCCCGCUAUGAACGUCUGCAAGCGGUGCGCGACCGCGCUGAACUUGUCCAGCAGCUCAUCGAGCCUUCGCAGCACCACCUCCUCUAGCGAGCGAGCGGAGCUGGACGAGUACUUCAGCUCCGACGACGACGCCAGCAGCCUCUCCGGAUUCAUCGUGAACACCAGCGAUGAUGAUGAGGCGGAGGGUGGCGACCAGAGCGCUGAGGACGACGGUGACAGCAACGUGGACAGAGCCAAGAGCAAUGAGAAAGGUGAGAGGCGGCAGAGGAAGCAUCAGUCAACGGGCGCGUUGGCACCGCCGCGGAAAGGCCAGCACGCCAACAAGAACAGGAAGCGGAGGCCUGCAGCAGGCGCCACAGACGCAGCGUCCGAUGUGUCGUCGGCGUCUUCAGCCGCCUCGGGGUCAUCAUCGCGCAUUUGGAGCCGCUCUGCGUCGCUCGACCGCGCCCUCGCAAUGGCUGCAAAGAGAAAGAGCAAGAAGCACGACUCAGCCAAGAAAGUGCACGCUGGUGAUAACGAAGGUGAUGCUGGGGCUUCGGCACCGCGGAAUGAGGGUCACGAGGGGCAGCGACGGAAGCGACGCCGCGUGCGCCACGAGGAUGAGGAAGGUGGACGCCGUCAGCACAAGCGGAAGCGCUCUGCUGCUGAGGCCAGCGAUACCUCCUCACUGACGUCCAGCACGUCCUCGGGGUCGUCGUCGUUGUCGACGAAGAAGGUGCGGCUGUUGAAGUCACAGAAAGAGAAGGCGUCUUCGCAACACCAGAGCAGCGCACAGAUGCCACUGUCACCGCCGCGACAGGAAGACGCGAGACGGGUGCCCACAUGUGCGAGUAGGGAGGGCACGAAGCAUUCGCCUGUAGACCGCCGCCGAGCAGAGCUGCUGUCGGCUCAGCCGCGUCGUUUGGCGGAGCUGGAAGAUGAGGAAGAGCUCAGCGCGCUCGGCAUCGCCUCAUCUUCUGCAUCCGGGACGCCGCUGCAGCCGCCACCGUCAUCGUCGAAGCGGCGCCAAGGCUGCAGCGCUAACCGAAGUGGUGGCUGCAAACGCCUCAGGAACGUUGCCUCCUCCUCGUCCUCUAGCGACGACGGCAACUGAGGAGUGGUUGAUGCUGGCAAUGAAGAGUUUGACAGAGCUAGUUGCCAGUUCCCCCACGGAGCUGGCAACCAGCCUCGCUUGCCCAACACGCGCACCCGACCCUCUUUGCGUGCAACACGAAGCGAAGUUACAGAACUGUUCGUUCGGUUUUGUCUCGACGAGUGCCGUGCGCUCACACGGGAUGUGCGGCAAACCAUGGUGUAUGUGUGUGUGUGUGUGUGGAUGGGUGGGUGGGGUGGGCUGCAAGUGUCUGCCGCUGCGACCCCCUUUGGUGGAUACGCGCCUCCCACGGUAUCGGCCAUCCAACACACUGUCAAUUAAUCGCCUAAGCGCGCACGGAGAGCCAUCCAGCACCAUCUUACAUGAACAGGGGAGCAUGUCUAGAGUCAGCACCGAAGGGGGUGCCUCAGAGGCGAAACGGAGAUGGCGCAUGCGUUGCGGAUACGCUCGCGCCGCUCUCGUGUCCUUGACGGCCUACCCCAGGUGACAGCAGCCCACCGCGUCUGCAGAAUGAGCUUAAGCGCACAUGAAAAUGGCACUCUUCUAUGCAACCUUCCCCUUCAUUGUGGUACAUCCCCCCGACCCACCCACCCAUCACAAGCCUGCGCACGGAUCUCCUUUCCUCUUCACUUACAG
rnacentral:misc_RNA from 1 species